AUUGAACGCUGGCGGCAUGCUUUACACAUGCAAGUCGAACGGUAACAGGCCUUCGGGUGCUGACGAGUGGCGAACGGGUGAGUAAUGCAUCGGAACGUACCCAGAGGUGGGGGAUAACGCAGCGAAAGCUGUGCUAAUACCGCAUGUGAUCUGAGGAUGAAAGCGGGGGACCGCGCAGCAAUGUUUGGCCUCGCGCCUUUGGAGCGGCCGAUGUCGGAUUAGCUAGUUGGUGGGGUAAAGGCCUACCAAGGCGACGAUCCGUAGCUGGUCUGAGAGGACGACCAGCCACACUGGGACUGAGACACGGUCCAGACUCCUACGGGAGGCAGCAGUGGGGAAUUUUGGACAAUGGGCGCAAGCCUGAUCCAGCAAUGCCGCGUGCGGGAAGAAGGCCUUCGGGUUGUAAACCGCUUUUGGCAGGAACGAAACGGUGUCCGCUAAUACCGGGCGCUAAUGACGGUACCUGCAGAAUAAGCACCGGCUAACUACGUG
rnacentral:rRNA from 1 species